AUUUUGGAUCGAUAUAGAAAAGAACCUGUUGGCUGAUGUGCAUGCUUUUGAAGAAGAUAUUACUUCUUUCACUGUCAUGCAACAUAGUCUCUACAUGUAGUUUGUUUCAGCUUCCAUUUUUGGGGAUUAAGUAGAUGAAUCAAAAUGUGGUUCAUUCAUUUCAAGUAAGUUUAUGUAUGGACAAAUGUAUGAUGGCAGGUAUGUUGGAGAUUUUUAUCUUUUUUUUUUUUUUUUUUACGGAAUCAAACCAAGGACCUAGAAUGCAUGAGUAAAUGCUCGGUCAAGCUAGAUAAAAAGACAAUGAUUUCUCCCUCCUUGAACACUUCAAAAAUAGAAUGAAUAAUUCAUAAUAAUAAAACCAAAUUACUUUUAAUAAUGUAUAUUUAAUGAUUAGAUAACAUGCAGAGAAGGCUACACUCAGAAAACUGUUUGCUACAAAACUUUAUCUCAACUGUUGGUCCUCAAGAGUCAAGACCAUUUCAGUUCUUGUUGCCCACUUUGGAAGGCCAUAAGCUCUGUUUUUGAGGUCAAAAUGCUCAAGCUUUUGAAGCAGAAGUUUAUCAUGCAUGGGAGUUAAGUAGUAUUGGAUAUUGAGUAUGCGAGAAGUGGGAAAAAGAAGGCAUUUUACGCCCAAAUGGAAUUGGACGAGGUUCAAGAUGAAUGUGUUUGGGCCAAAAGAAAUCCAAAAGCACCAGCCCACUUCUAACAAAUAAGCCCAGGAAUAGGAAAACAGAAGACUGGGCCUUGACUCCAAAAGAAAAGCCCAAUCCAAGUCAGAGACCCAUAUCUUUUUUAAAAGAACAUAAUUUUAAAAAACGCCAAAAAUAAAUGGCAAUUACAAACUAAGCAGAUCGAUAAAAGUGAGUUGGGCCCAGUCUACAAAAAAAACCUACCAUUUCUCUCAAAAUCCCAGGAACAAUGUGGCGGACUUUAGGAACCUAUUCUUAAGGAAGCCCACGUGACUAUCUAAAAGACUUUGAAAAAGUCAACAAUUUCAGACCAGCCAUUUAUGCUGAUUGGAUAGCCAAUAUUGUGCCAGUUCUAAAGAGAAAAACAUGAGCAGUUAGGAUUUGUGUAGAUUACAUGAAUCUAAAUGAAGCAUCCCUCAAGGAUGAAUAUCUUAUGCCAAUGGCAGAUAUGCUGGUAGAUGGAACUGCUCAUAACCAAAUGCUAUCUUUUAUGGAUGGCAAUGCAAGAUAUAAUCAAAUUAUGGUAGCAGAAGAAGACAUUCAUAAAACAGCCUUCUUGUGUCCAGGACAUAUAGGUGUUUUUGAAUACACAGUAAUGCCUUUUGGCUUAAGAAAUGCAGGAGCCAUUUAUCAAAGAGCAAUGAAUUCUGUUUU